rnacentral:rRNA from 1 species
AACGAACGUUGGCGGCGUGGAUUAGGCAUGCAAGUCGAACGCGAACGUCGGGCUUCGGCCUGACUAGUAGAGUGGCGAACGGGUGAGUAACGCGUGGGCAAUCUACCCUCGAGUGGGGAGUAACCAUUCCAACGAGUGGCUAAUUCCGCAUGUGCCCUCUCUGUCGCAUGGCGGAGCGGGCAAAGGUGGGGAGUCUUCGGACCUGCCGCUCGAGGAGGAGCCCGCGUCCCA